rnacentral:rRNA from 1 species
UGUUGUGGCCUAAAUAUUGUGAAGGCACCAGAUCCUGUCUGCUCCUGGAAAUGAAGCAGAAUUGCGCCUGGUUAGUCCUUGGAAGAGAGAUAGCCAAGGAAUACCAGAUGCUGCAGCCU